CUCUCCGAUGGUGAGAUCACAUCUCACAUCCUCGCUGGACUCGAUCUCGAGUAUAAUCCAGUGGUCUCCGCGUUGGCCGCCCGGGUGGAGCCGGUUACUGUCCCUGAACUCUACAGUCAACUUCUCUCCUUUGAUG
rnacentral:snoRNA from 1 species